AUCGUCCACUUUGGGAUACGCCCUGCACAGUUGAGUUAUGCAGGAGACCCACAGUACCAAAAACUGUGGAAGAGUUAUGUGAAACUUCGCCACCUCCUAGCAAAUAGUCCCAAAGUCAAACAAACUGACAAACAGAAGCUGGCACAGAGGGAGGAAGCCCUCCAAAAAAUACGGCAGAAGAAUACAAUGAGACGAGAAGUAACGGUGGAGCUAAGUAGCCAAGGAUUCUGGAAAACUGGCAUCCGUUCUGAUGUCUGUCAGGUGGGGAGACUUCUGAGGACACAGUUAUGCCCAUACUUUUCUUCCUUUAAAACAAAUCUGGUACUGAGGGUUUCUUAAUUGAGAAUGUUCUUUAGAAAAUACUACCUUGAGACUAAAUGGAAUAUCAACUAUAAAUUGUUUUCUAUUA
rnacentral:lncRNA from 1 species